rnacentral:rRNA from 1 species
UACAGAGGGUGCGAGCGUUAAUCGGAAUUACUGGGCGUAAAGGGUGCGUAGGUGGUUAGUUAAGUUAGAUGUGAAAUCCCUGGGCUUAACCUAGGAAUGGCAUUUAAGACUGAUUGGCUAGAGUUUGGGAGAGGGAAGUGGAAUUUCCGGUGUAGCGGUGAAAUGCGUAGAUAUCGGAAGGAACACCAGUGGCGAAGGCGACUUCCUGGCCCGAUACUGACACUGAGGCACGAAAGCGUGGGGAGCGAACAGG